rnacentral:rRNA from 1 species
UACGUAGGGAGCAAGCGUUGUCCGGAAUCAUUGGGCGUAAAGCGCGCGUAGGCGGCCCGGUAAGUCCGCUCUGAAAGUCCAGGGCUCAACCCUGGAAAGCGGGUGGAUACUGCCGGGCUAGAAUCCGGAAGAGGCGAGUGGAAUUCCGUGGUGUAGCGGUGGAAUGCGCAGAUAUCAGAAGGAACACCAAUAGCGAAGGCAGCUCGCUGGGACGGUAUUGACGCUAAGGCGCGAAAGCGUGGGGAGCAAACAGG